rnacentral:rRNA from 1 species
AGUGAACGCUGGCGGUAGGCCUAACACAUGCAAGUCGAACGGCAGCACAGGAGAGCUUGCUCUCUGGGUGGCGAGUGGCGGACGGGUGAGGAAUACAUCGGAAUCUACUUUUUCGUGGGGGAUAACGUAGGGAAACUUACGCUAAUACCGCAUACGACCUACGGGUGAAAGCAGGGGACCUUCGGGCCUUGCGCGAUUGAAUGAGCCGAUUUCGGAUUAGCUAGUUGGCGGGGUAAAGGCCCACCAAGGCGACGAUCCGUAGCUGGUCUGAGAGGAUGAUCAGCCACACUGGAACUGAGACACGGUCCAGACUCCUACGGGAGGCAGCAGUGGGGAAUAUUGGACAAUGGGCGCAAGCCUGAUCCAGCCAUACCGCGUGGGUGAAGAAGGCCUUCGGGUUGUAAAGCCCUUUUGUUGAGAAAGAAAUCCAGCUGGCUAAUACCCGGUUGGGAUGACGGUGCCCAAAGAAUAAGCACCGGCUAACUUCGUGCCAGCAGCCGCCGUAA